rnacentral:sRNA from 1 species
GUCUCAGGCUGGAGAAAGCAAAGACUCCUAGCCAUUCCUCUGACUCAUGUACAAAACUUCUCUGGGGUGUGUAUGUUCCCCUCUGAUUUAUUCCGGACAGGAAGCAACCGGUUCUAUGAUAACAUUGAAGACAUGAUUGGCUACCGGCCACCGUCGCUUAUUAAGUGGUGCUGGAAGAUCAUGACCCCUGGGAUCUGCGCGGGGAUCUUCAUCUUCUUCUUGAUCAAGUACAAGCCGCUCAAGUACAACAACAUCUACACCUACCCAGCCUGGGGCUACAGCAUUGGCUGGCUCAUGGCCCUGUCCUCCAUGCUCUGCAUCCCGCUCUGGAUCUGCAUCACAGUGUGGAAGACGGAGGGGACGCUGCCCGAGGUGAGACCGCCCCAGGAGGGCUGGUGCGUGUGGGCAGGGUUCGCGCCUUGGGUCCCAGUUUCCUCAUCUGCAUGGUGCGCGAUGAUGGCCUGCGCCCACCUGCCUCAAGGGGACGCUGUGGCAAACUCCUCUCUGGCCAAUGCGCAUUAUCGUGGUUGUGCCCAAGGUGUCUCUGUGAGGUCUUUUGGCUGAGCCAGU